CACAGGUGCCUGCUGCUUUCAUGACAUGGCCUGCACCCAGCUCCUCCUGAUGCUGCCGCCCCUGCCCAGGGCACAGCAAGCAGCAGUUGUGAAUCUGUACCCUAUGAGCUGCUGUUGGCCUGUGGAGCCAGGCCAGCAUGAGGGGUGGAGGGAGUCAGCAUUAAACCAAGUCUUGCAAAGCAUUUGAUCAGGUACAAGGUAAAAUUGAAACAACAGCCUCCUCACCAAUUCUUCUGAAGGAGAAUGUUCUGAGGAAAUCAUGAAAUUACAACUCUCUGAAGCAUCAGACAGACCUACCAGUGUGGAUGCUAUGCCACGUGGACAGGAGCUCUUACUGAAACUCUUCUGCAUAUCCUUGCACCUGUGCAAAACAUGAGCACUGUAGCUUUGUAGCUCAUGUUCAUUCACUCUUAAUGUUAUUGUGUCUGAAACAAAUAAAAAGCGAAGUUUCAUGACAUAGAUUCA